rnacentral:rRNA from 1 species
GGAUGCCUUGGCGAUUACAGGCGACGAAGGACGUGAUAGCCUGCGAUAAGCUUCGGGGAGCUGGCAAAUUAGCUUUGAUCCGGAGAUUUCCGAAUGGGGAAACCCACCGAAAGGUAUCGUAUUCUGAAUACAUAGGGAUACGAGGCGAACCGGGUGAACUGAAACAUCUCAGUAGCUCGAGGAAAAGACAUCAACCGAGAUUCCGAAAGUAGUGGCGAGCGAAAUCGGAGUAGCCCUCGCGUUUUAGCAGUUUGUAUAUCAGAACGGAAUGGAAAGUCCGGCCACAGCGGGUGAUAGCCCCGUAUGAGAAAUGCAGAUUGUGGAACUAGGCGCGAAUAGAGUAGGGCGGGACACGUGAAAUCCUGUCUGAAUAUGGGG